rnacentral:rRNA from 1 species
UACGAAGGGGGCUAGCGUUGUUCGGAAUCACUGGGCGUAAAGGGCGCGUAGGCGGCCGUUCAAGUCGGGGGUGAAAGCCUGUGGCUCAACCACAGAAUGGCCUUCGAUACUGGACGGCUCGAGACCGGAAGAGGUCAGUGGAACUGCGAGUGUAGAGGUGAAAUUCGUAGAUAUUCGCAAGAACACCAGUGGCAAAGGCGGCUGACUGGUCCGGUUCUGACGCUGAGGCGCGAAAGCGUGGGGAGCAAACAGG